GACGAACGCUGGCGGCGUGCUUAACACAUGCAAGUCGAACGGAAAGGCCCUGCUUUUGUGGGGUGCUCGAGUGGCGAACGGGUGAGUAACACGUGAGUAACCUGCCCUUGACUUUGGGAUAACUUCAGGAAACUGGGGCUAAUACCGGAUAGGAGCUCCUGCUGCAUGGUGGGGGUUGGAAAGUUUCGGCGGUUGGGGAUGGACUCGCGGCUUAUCAGCUUGUUGGUGGGGUAGUGGCUUACCAAGGCUUUGACGGGUAGCCGGCCUGAGAGGGUGACCGGCGACAUUGGGACUGCGAUACGGCCCAGACUCCUACGGGAGGCAGCAGGGGGGAAUAUUGCACAAUGGGCGGAAGCCUGAUGCAGCAACGCCGCGUGCGGGAUGACGGCCUUCGGGUUGUAAACCGCUUUCGCCUGUGACGAAGCGUGAGUGACGGUAAUGGGUAAAGAAGCACCGGCUAACUACGUG
rnacentral:rRNA from 1 species